CAUCCUCUUGGGGAACGUUUCUGGACUUUAUUGGACAGGGCGAGAUUCAAGUCUUUUACUUUGAGGAAAUUAGAGUGUUCACGGCAGGCAAGCGCUUUGAAUACAUUAGCAUGGAAUAAUAAUAUAGGACCUUCGUUCUAUUUUGUUGGUUUCUAGAACUUAGGUAAUGAUUAAUAGGGACAAUUGGGGGCAUUCGUAUUAACGCGUCAGAGGUGGAAUUCUUGGAUUGCGUUACGACGAACUACUGCGAAAGCAUUUGCCAAAGAUGUUUUCAUUGAUCAAGAACGAAAGUAUGGGGAUCGAAGACGCUUAGAUACCGUCGUAGUCUAUACCAUAAACUAUGCCAACUAGAGAUUGGAGGGGUUCUCCUAUUUGGCUCCUUCAGCAUCUUAUGAGAAAUCAAAGUCUUUGGGUUCCGGGGGGAGUAUGGUCGCAAGGCUGAAACUUAAAGGAAUUGACGGAAGGGCACCACCAGGAGUGG
rnacentral:rRNA from 1 species